UCCGGUUUGUCACCGGCAGUCUCAUUAGAGUGCCCAACUGAAUGUAGCAACUAAUGACAAGGGUUGCGCUCGUUGCGGGACUUAACCCAACAUCUCACGACACGAGCUGACGACAGCCAUGCAGCACCUGUGUUACGGCUCCCUUUCGGGCACGCCUCCCUCUCGAGAGGCUUCCGUACAUGUCAAGGGUAGGUAAGGUGGGGAUGACGUAACGGCAUUAGCCA
rnacentral:misc_RNA from 1 species